rnacentral:lncRNA from 1 species
GCGCCGGGCCCCGUGCCACCGACACCUGUCUGCAGUGCCACAACAACACCCAGGUGAGUGUUACCUGGGCACAGGUGUGUUACCUGGGUGCCAGGUGAGUUACCUGCGCCUGCAACGGGCACAGCGACUGCGCCGGGCCGCAUGCAACGGACACCUGUCUGCAGUGCCACAACAACACCCAGGUGAGUGCCAGGUGUGCCCAGGUGAGUGCCAGGUGUGCCCAGGUGAGUGUUACCUGGGUGCCAGGUGUGCCCAGGUGUGUUACCUGGGUGGGCACAGCGACUGCGCCGGGCCGCAUGCAACCGACACCUGUCUGCAGUGCCACAACAACACCCAGGGCCCGCAGUGCCAGCGCUGCCGCCCGCUGUUCGUGGGCACCGCCCUCGGGGGGGGCACCUGCCUCACCUGUAACACACCUGUAACACACCUGUAACACACCUGUGCACACCUGUAACACACUGUAACACACCUGUAACACACCUGUAACACACCUGUGCACACCUGUAACACACCUGUAACACACCUGUAACACACCUGUAACACACCUGUGCACACCUGUAACACACCUGUACCACACCUGUGCACACCUGUAACACACCUGCAGGGCCCGCAGUGCCAGCGCUGCCGCCCGCUGUUCGUGGGCACCGCCCUCGGGGGGGGCACCUGCCUCACCUGUAACACACCUGUACCACACCUGUAACACACCUGUACCACACCUGUGCACACCUGUAACACACCUGUAACACACCUGUAACACACCUGUGCACACCUGUAACACACCUGUAACACACCUGUACCACACCUGUGCACACCUGCAGGGCCCGCAGUGCCAGCGCUGCCGCCCGCUGUUCGUGGGCACCGCCCUCGGG